rnacentral:rRNA from 1 species
UACGUAGGGUGCAAGCGUUGUCCGGAAUUAUUGGGCGUAAAGAGCUCGUAGGCGGUCUGUCGCGUCGGCUGUGAAAACUCGGGGCUCAACCCCGAGCCUGCAGUCGAUACGGGCAGACUAGAGUGUGGUAGGGGAGACUGGAAUUCCUGGUGUAGCGGUGAAAUGCGCAGAUAUCAGGAGGAACACCGAUGGCGAAGGCAGGUCUCUGGGCCACUACUGACGCUGAGAAGCGAAAGCGUGGGGAGCGAACAGG